rnacentral:rRNA from 1 species
CCUACGGGCGGCAGCAGUGGGGAAUAUUGGACAAUGGGCGAAAGCCUGAUCCAGCCAUGCCGCGUGUGUGAAGAAGGCCUUCGGGUUGUAAAGCACUUUCAGUGGGGAAGAAAGCCUUGGGGCUAAUACCCUCGAGGAAGGACAUCACCCACAGAAGAAGCACCGGCUAACUCCGUGCCAGCAGCCGCGGUAAUACGGAGGGUGCGAGCGUUAAUCGGAAUUACUGGGCGUAAAGCGCGCGUAGGCGGUCUGAUAAGCCGGUUGUGAAAGCCCCGGGCUCAACCUGGGAACGGCAUCCGGAACUGUCAGGCUAGAGUGCAGGAGAGGAAGGUAGAAUUCCCGGUGUAGCGGUGAAAUGCGUAGAGAUCGGGAGGAAUACCGGUGGCGAAGGCGGCCUUCUGGACUGACACUGACGCUGAGGUGCGAAAGCGUGGGUAGCAAACAGGAUUAGAUACCCUAGUAGUC